rnacentral:sRNA from 16 species
CCCUCGGAGUGUUAUAUCAAACGAAAGUAGUAAGUUCUUAGAACAACAAAAUCGGACAUAAUGAACAGGGAA